AUUAGAGUUUGAUCCUGGCUCAGGAUGAACGCUAGCGGGAGGCCUAAUACAUGCAAGUCGAACGGCAGCAGCGGAGCUUGCUCCGGCUGGCGAGUGGCGCACGGGUGAGUAACGCGUACGCAACCUGCCCCUAACUGGGGGAAAGUCACGGGAAACUGUGAAUAAUCCCGCAUGUGUUCUGGUUGGCGCAUGCUGGUUGGAAUAAAGCUGAGGCGGUUAGGGAUGGGCGUGCGUCUGAUUAGCUAGUUGGUGGGGUAACGGCCCACCAAGGCGAUGAUCAGUAGGGGGCGUGAGAGCGUGAUCCCCCACACGGGUACUGAGACACGGACCCGACUUCUACGGAAGGCAGCAGUAGGGAAUAUUGGACAAUGGGCGCAAGCCUGAUCCAGCCAUCCCGCGUGCAGGAAGAAGGCCCUCAGGGUUGUAAACUGCUUUUGUCAGGGAAGAAACCCCGUGAUUGAUCAUGGGCUGACGGUACCUGACGAAUAAGCACCGGCUAACUCCGUGCCAGCAGCCGCGGUAAUACGGAGGGUGCGAGCGUUAUCCGGAAUCACUGGGUUUAAAGGGUGCGUAGGCGGCCUGGUAAGUCAGGGGUGAAAGUCUGCCGCUUAACGGUAGAAUUGCCUUUGAUACUGUCAGGCUUGAAUGGGCGCGAGGCAGGCGGAAUGUGGCAUGUAGCGGUGAAAUGCAUAGAUAUGCCAUAGAACACCGAUUGCGAAGGCAGCUUGCCAGAGCUCGAUUGACGCUGAGGCACGAAAGCGUGGGGAGCAAACAGGAUUAGAUACCCUGGUAGUCCACGCCCUAAACGAUGCUUACUCGAUGUUCGGCCCAUGCGGUUGAGCGUCCAAGCGAAAGCGCUAAGUAAGCCACCUGGGGAGUACGCCGGCAACGGUGAAACUCAAAGGAAUUGACGGGGGUCCGCACAAGUGGUGGAGCAUGUGGUUUAAUUCGAUGAUACGCGAGGAACCUUACCUGGGCUAGAAUGCGAGCGCUAUCUGCCGAAAGGCGGAGUUCCCCGCGAGGGGACGCGAAGCAAGGUGCUGCAUGGCUGUCGUCAGCUCGUGUCGUGAGAUGUUGGGUUAAGUCCCGCAACGAGCGCAACCCUUGUCCUUAGUUGCCAACAAUUCGGUUGGGGACUCUAAGGAGACUGCCGGCGCAAGCCGCGAGGAAGGUGGGGAUGACGUCAAGUCAUCAUGGCCUUUAUGUCCAGGGCUACACACGUGCUACAAUGGCGGGUACAGCGGGUAGCGAAGCCGUGAGGUGGAGCCAAUCCCUGAAAGCCCGUCCCAGCUCGGAUCGGAGUCUGCAACCCGACUCCAUGAAGUUGGAAUCGCUAGUAAUCGCGCAUCAGCCAUGGCGCGGUGAAUACGUUCCCGGACCUUGUACACACCGCCCGUCAAGCCAUGGGAGCCGGGGGUGCCUGAAGACGGUGAUCCGCUACGGCGGAAGCUGUUUAGGGUAAAACCGGUGACUGGGGCUAAGUCGUAACAAGGUAACCAA
rnacentral:rRNA from 1 species